rnacentral:rRNA from 1 species
UCUGCUCAAUGAUUUUUUAAAUUGCUGUGGUAUUUUGACUAUACGAAGGUAUUGAAAUAAGGCUUUAAAUGGGUGCUAAGAGAAUGGUUUAACAAUUAUCAGCUUUCUUUAAUUAAAUAAUUGAAUUUAAUUUUUUUGUGAAGAAGCAAAAAUGCAAAUUAGGGACAAGAAGACCCUAUGAAUUUUUAUUUUUAUUUAAAAAAAUUUUUAAUUAAAAAUUUGAUUGGGGUGAUAUAAAAAGAAUAUUUAUCUUUUUUUAAAUAUAUUAAUUUGAUCCGUUAUUAACGAUUAUUUGAAAAAAAUACUCUAGGGAUAACAGCGUAAUAAUUUUGGAUAGUUCACAUAGAUAAAAUAGUUUGCGACCUCGAUGUUGGAUUAGGAUUCUUUUUUGGUGAAGAAAUUAAAAUUAAGAAGUUUGUUCAACUUUUAAAUUCCUACUUGAUCU